rnacentral:tmRNA from 1 species
GGGGGCGUCCUGGUUUCGACGGGUAGUCUGCGGUCGGGGUGGCAUGCCGAGGAUGAUUCGUUGGCCUCGUUAAUCACCGGAUCAAAACCAUAACUGCAAACUCUAACGAGCUCGCACUCGCGGCCUAAGCACCGCGACAUUUCCAGGGCCAUGUCUGGUAGCCCUGGAGAUGCCACCACCAGGCUGGCUGGCUGACCGGGCGACCGGGUCGAAAGCGAGAUUCCACAGGACGCUGGGUUUGGGGCAUUCCGCCGUCGAAGGCCCCCAGCCGAGAUCAAAUGGCAGGCUAAGCAUGUAGAAGCUCCGGCUUAUGGCCAUUCGGACAGGGGUUCAACUCCCCUCGCCUCCACCA